rnacentral:rRNA from 1 species
UACGUAGGGUCCGAGCGUUGUUCGGAAUUAUUGGGCGUAAAGCGUGCGCAGGCGGUUUUGUAAGUCUGUCGUGAAAGCCCCGGGCUCGACCUGGGAAUUGCGAUGGAGACUGCAAGGCUUGAAUCUGGCAGAGGGGGGUAGAAUUCCACGUGUAGCAGUGAAAUGCGUAGAGAUGUGGAGGAACACCGAUGGCGAAGGCAGCCCCCUGGGUCAAGAUUGACGCUCAUGCACGAAAGCGUGGGGAGCAAACAGG